GGUGAAAGUCUGCANCUUAACUGUAGAACUGCCAUUGAUACUGUAGACCUUGAAUUAGUAUGAAGUGGUUAGAAUGUGUAGUGUAGCGGUGAAAUGCAUAGAUAUUACACAGAAUACCGAUUGCGAAGGCAGAUCACUAAUACUAUAUUGACGCUGAUGGACGAAAGCGUAGGUAGCGAACAGGAUUAGAUACCCUGGUAGUCUACGCCGUAAACGAUGGUUACUAGCUGUCCGGCCUAAUUGAGGGCUGGGUGGUUAAGCGAAAGUGAUAAGUAACCCACCUGGGGAGUACGUUCGCAAGAAUGAAACUCAAAGGAAUUGACGGGGGCCCGCACAAGCGGUGGAGCAUGUGGUUUAAUUCGAUGAUACGCGAGGAACCUUACCAGGGCUUAAAUGCAGUCUGACGUAUUUGGAAACAGAUAUUUCUUCGGACAGAUUGCAAGGUGCUGCAUGGUUGUCGUCAGCUCGUGCCGUGAGGUGUCAGGUUAAGUCCUAUAACGAGCGCAACCCCUGUGGUUAGUUGCCAGCACGUAAUGGUGGGAACUCUAGCCAGACUGCCGGUGCAAACCGUGAGGAAGGUGGGGAUGACGUCAAAUCAUCACGGCCCUUACGUCCUGGGCCACACACGUGCUACAAUGGUAGGGACAGAGAGCAGCCACUUCGCGAGAAGGAGCGAAUCUAUNAACCCUA
rnacentral:rRNA from 1 species